AGUGAACGCUGGCGGUAGGCCUAACACAUGCAAGUCGAACGGAAGCACAGUAAGAGCUUGCUCUUACGGGUGGCGAGUGGCGGACGGGUGAGGAAUACAUCGGAAUCUACUUUUUCGUGGGGGCUAACGUAGGGAAACUUACGCUAAUACCGCAUACGACCUACGGGUGAAAGCAGGGGAUCUUCGGACCUUGCGCGAAUGAAUGAGCCGAUGUCGGAUUAGCUAGUUGGCGGGGUAAAGGCCCACCAAGGGAACGAUCCGUAGCUGGUCUGAGAGGUUGAUCAGCCACACUGGAACUGAGACACGGUCCAGACUCCUGCGGGAGGCAGCAGUGGGGAAUAUUGGACAAGGGGCGCAAGCCUGAUCCACCCAUACCGCGUGGGUGAAGAAGGCCUUCGGGUUGUAAAGCCCUUUUGUUGGGAAAGAAAAGCAGCAGGUGAAUACCCCGCUGUUCUGACGGUACCCAAAGAAUAAGCACCGGCUAACUUCGUG
rnacentral:rRNA from 1 species